rnacentral:rRNA from 1 species
AACAAGGUUUCCGUAGGUGAACCCGUGGAAGGAUCAUUGU